rnacentral:lncRNA from 1 species
AGGUAUUAUCACCCUCAUUCAUUCUGUCUGAUAGCUCUUAUUAUCAGCAAACUACAGAUAUGACUUGUCCCUAUAACUUCCAUGCGCUUUUGCAGUUUGGGUAUUCUCUUAUGCUAUCACUUCCUGGUUUGAGUAACAAUGAGUUGAGUUGUUUUUGGCUAGUCUUGGGAAACUCUAAGGCCACUCAAACAUUGUUGUGUGAACUCGAUGUAACUGUACUAUUUUUGCAUGUAACUAGGUCAAUUCAAGUUUUACCACUCUGAUAAGUGAUAUUGCUUUGUAAAAUUGAGGGGUUUGUUUAACCUGUAAGAAAUGUAUAAAGAUAGCACGUUGUGCAUGAAUGAACCUGUAAGAAAUGUAUAAAGAUAGCACGUUGUGCAUGAAUGAACUUAAGUAGAGACUCAUCAAUUGGCUUGUCAAUUGCUUGAGUGAGCGGAUUACUUUCUGACCGAGAAAAAAAGAGUGGAUUACUUUGCUUAAAUAAUACAGAGAAUUUUUCUAGAAAUUAGGUUCAAAGAUUGUGAAAAUUUUAUGCUUGUUAUUGCUAUACAUCUUAUUUAAGUUUUUCUAUCUUGACCAUUGCAGAUCCAUGGACUCUUCACCUUGUUUGAUACAGAUCAUGAUGGGAAGAUCAGCAAGGCCGAUUUGAUCGCCUGCUUAAGAAGAUAUCCUUUGUUGAUUGCCCUUUUCUCACCUUGUUUAUUGCAACAAACUUGCCCAUAGCUGGUCUAUUGUACGGAGAAGUGAACUAAGUUGAUGGACAUAGGCACCAUUAAUGGUAGAGAAUCCUUUUUUGGCCUUCUACCAGUGUUGUGAACUACUAAUAUAUCUCAGAAAUUUUGUUGCUUAGAUUAGUGUAUUUAUCCUUACAAACAUGGCUUGGGUGUUAAUAUGCCAUUUGAAUGGUAAAGCUCUUAGGCCUAGAGUUCUAGUGCCUUGGCUUUUCUUUUUUAAAUUUUGGUUCAAUUUCUCAAUAGAAGUGAAAGUAAAAGCUAGCUUC